UCGGUCUCUUCUGUUUCCAGUUUAUUGGCUGUUGAUCCAUCUCAGCUGUCUCAGCUCAAUUCAGUUCCCAAAAACACUACAUUUGAAACUGAUAAGAUGGUGGUUGUUCCUGUCACCUGCUCUUGUCCAGGAAAGUACUACCAAGUAAUCGCAUAUUAUGUUGUACAGCAAGAUGACAACUUCUAGUCAUUUCCAAUAACACUUUUUAAGACCUCUCAAAAAGAAGCCCAACUCCAUGAAUCAAUUGUUAAAAAAUAAGAUAUCCGAGACAUAUAUACAUAUAACAUAUACAAUAUAAUCAACUAACUAAUUAAAACCCACAUAUUCACAUACAAAAAUUACCUGAUUAGUGAUAUAUUCAUCGAUUUCUCCGGCUAUUCUUAAGUGCUUACAGCACAUGACUCCUUGGAUUCCUACACGACAAAUUUAUGUCCACUCUAAUGUGUUAUACGCAGUAUUUAAUCAGGUAGUAGCUAUAAAUAAUAUACCUCCAUUCUCGAGUAAAUCAG
rnacentral:lncRNA from 1 species